UCUGUUUGUUGAUUACCUGUACCAGUACAGCACUGUUUUGAGAAGUCCCAGUAUCCGAUGGGCCCAGUCUCUCUAUAAAUGUCUUGGCUGUUCUUGGCCCUUUGUUCUUCUGUUAUGAAUUUAGAAUCAGCUUGCAGAGAGUGAAACACUCAAAUGGAACGGGGUUUUUAUUGGAUGGUGUUGAAUUUGUACAUCAAUUUGGGGGGAAUUAAUAUCUUCAUAGUAUGUCAUCUUUCUGUUGAAGAACAUUGUAUAACUCUUCAUUUUAGUUCCUUUUCAAUGUCAAGUUUUAUAUUUUCCUUCAUAAAGGACAUUGAUAACUUGCCUCAGUUCUGAUGCUCUAAAUUUUGAUGCUGUGUGGGAAGUUUUAAAAAUACUACUUAAACUUUGUAUGGAAAUGCAAAUAACUGCAUAUUGAUUUUGUAUCUAGCAACCUUGCUAAAAUUAGUUAUUUUUUAAAUCACAUAAUUUUUCUUCAUAGAUUUUUGGUUUCUAUAUAUCUAUUACAAAUGAUUCUUUUUUUCCAAUCUUUACAUUUUUGCUUUUUAAAAUCUGAUUAUCAGCGAAUUCUAAUUUGCUAAGACUUUAUCAUACAUACAUGAAUAUUGAAUUUUAUGAAUGGUUUUCCCACAUCUGUUGAGAUUUUACUUUUUUUCCAUAAAUCUGCUGAUGUGAUUAAUUACAUUAAUAAUUUUCCUGAAAUUAACACAAACUUGUAUUCCUGGGAUAAACUUUUUUACCUAGACAUAUUAAUGUUUUUAUACAUUGCUGGGUUCAGUGUGCUAAAAUAUUAUUAGGAAAUCUAUGUUAAUGAAUGAGUUUGACCUGAAAAUUCUUUUCUGAAACUGUUGUUUUCUAAUUUAACUAUUAAUAUUAUCCUAGCCUGAUAAAAUAAGCAAAGAAAUGUACCCACUUUUUUUUUUUUUUUUUUUUUUUUUUUUUUUUUUUGCAAACUUUUGAAUAGUUUAAGAACAAGAUUAUGUGUCUAUUUGGUAGUAUGUACCUAUAAUGUCAUCCAUAUCAUGUGGGCCUAGUGUUUUUAUUGUGGGAAGAUUAUUUAAUAACCGAUUAGAUUUUCUUGAUGGUCUGUAGCUAUUUGAUUUUCUGUCUCUUCUAGAGUCAUUUUUGGUAAGUUGAGGUCUUCUAGGAAUUUAUUCGUUUUGCCAAAAUUCAAAUUUAUUACCAUAAAAUUGUUCAUAUUAUUAUUUUGUUAAUGGUCUAAUCUCUGCAGCAUCUCUACUUAGGCCACAUUUUUCCAUUUCUAGUAUUGUUUGUGUCUUUUAAUUUUGGCAGAACUUUAAUCAUUAAUAAAAUCAUUCAGAUUUUAUUAAUCUUAAUGGAUAUUUUCAAAGAAUCAAUUUCUAGAUUUGUUUAUCCUUUCUAUGCUUUGAUUCUGGAUUCCAUUGAUGUUGCUCUUGUGAUUUUCUUCCUUAUACUUUCUUUAGAUCUAUUUUUAAUUUUUUAUAAUUUCAAAAGGAGUUGACAGAAAUUGAAUUUAUUGAAUUUGAUAGUUUAUUCUUGGAAUAUUUAAGUGUCACUUAUCUCUUGCAACAUCUUAAAAGUUUAUAUUUGAUUUAUUAAUGAAUUAGUGAUAUAUUCUUUUUCUAAAUGCCAUUGAUGACCUUUAACAUGAGAACAAAUUUUAAAA